UACGGAGGGUGCGAGCGUUGUCCGGAAUCACUGGGCGUAAAGGGCGCGUAGGUGGCCCGUUAAGUGGCUGGUGAAAUCCCGCGGCUCAACUGCGGGGCUGCCGGUCAUACUGGCGAGCUAGAGCACGGUAGGGGCAGAUGGAAUUCCCGGUGUAGCGGUGGAAUGCGUAGAGAUCGGGAAGAAUACCAGUGGCGAAGGCGUUCUGCUGGGCCGUAACUGACGCUGAGGAGCGAAAGCAUGGGGAGCGAACAGG
rnacentral:rRNA from 1 species